rnacentral:rRNA from 1 species
UACGUAGGGUGCGAGCGUUGUCCGGAAUUAUUGGGCGUAAAGAGCUCGUAGGCGGUUUGUCACGUCGUUCGUGAAAACCUGCAGCUUAACUGUGGGCGUGCGGUCGAUACGGGCAUCACUGGAGUUCGGCAGGGGAGACUGGAAUUCCUGGUGUAGCGGUGAAAUGCGUAGAUAUCCGGAGGAACACCGGUGGCGAAGGCGGCUUCCUGGACCGACACUGACGCUGAGGCGCGAAAGCUAGGGGAGCAAACGGG